CUACGGAGGGUGCGAGCGUUAUCCGGAUUUAUUGGGUUUAAAGGGUGCGUAGGCGGUCGGGUAAGCGUAGGGUGAAAGUCCUCUGCUCAACAGAGGAAGUGCCUUCCGAACUGUCCGACUGGAAUGCUCCUGCCGUGGGAGGAAUGUGUGGUGUAGCGGUGAAAUGCAUAGAGAUCACACAGAACACCGAUUGCGAAGGCAUCUCACGAAGGGGCUAUUGACGCUGAGGCACGAAAGCGUGGGGAUCAAACAGGAUUAGAUACCCUGGUAGUCCACGCAGUAAACGAUGAUGACUAACCGGCGGUCAAGACUGAUCGGUGGCCAAGCGAAAGCGAUAAGUCAUCCACCUGGGGAGUACGACCGCAAGGUUGAAACUCAAAGGAAUUGGCGUGG
rnacentral:rRNA from 1 species